rnacentral:rRNA from 1 species
UACGGAGGGUGCGAGCGUUGUCCGGAAUUACUGGGCGUAAAGGGCGCGUAGGCGGCUCAUGAAGGCUGUGGUGAAAGUCCGGGGCUCAACCUCGGAUCGGCCGUGGCGACUCGUGGGCUGGAGCACUGUAGAGGCGGGUGGAAUUCCGGGUGUAGCGGUGGAAUGCGUAGAGAUCCGGAAGAACACCAGUGGCGAAGGCGGCCCGCUGGGCAGUGGCUGACGCUGAAGCGCGACAGCGUGGGGAGCAAACAGG